UGGGAGAGCUUCCUUUCCCCACAAUGCACCGCGGCAUGCUGCACUUUAUAAGAGUACGCGUGACUUCCGCUCAGCCUCUUGGUUCCUCGUGCAGCAUGAGUAGCAGACGGACGGUGGACGUGUUCGCACGCGACAUGCGGUGUCCUGUGUGGAACGUGUCCUGAAGAGCAGCAGCCAUGGAUGGAACAAUAAAACCCUGCCCUGUCUCUGGGCUGAAGGCAGAUUGUGAUGAGCUGCUGUGUGGAGCUGACUGUCAUGCUGCAGGCUGACUGACGGAGUGUGUGGAGCAGCCGGCCUGCAGGGGGCAGCAAACACCCACAAGAAGCCCAGACUGGCCCUGUGUUUAGUGUAAUCCAGGCUGGUCUGAAUAAGUGGAGAAGUUCCUGUUGGAGUCGUUGGCUGGGAUGUGACUGACCUGCUGCUGGUGAUCAGCACGCCAUGUUUCAGCAUGUCUGCUGAACCUGACUGAGGCUGUCAAUGGAAGCUGUUCUGAAGGAAUCGCCCACAUUUAACAUCUACAAGCAAUAUCAUCCUCCUAAAGGAAUACGUUCUGCUCUCUGAAUGAAUUCUGUUAAACAUGAACAAAAGUUGGAAUAAAAGUUUGAUCUGGCAGCA